CGCCUUUUGUAGUACAUAUAUAAAAGGUCCUGCCUGCCCAAUGACUUGUUUUAAUGGCCGCGGUAUUGUGACCGUGCAAAGGUAGCGUAAUCAUUUGUCUUUUAAAUAAAGACCAGUAUGAACGGCAAGACGAAAGCCUCACUGUCUCCCUAGCCUAAUCAAUGAAAUUGAUCUUCCCGUGCAGAAGCGGAAAUAUAAAUAUAAGACGAGAAGACCCUGUGGAGCUUUAAACUCCAGUUUUAGGUUGGGGCGACCAUGAGGUAUAAUAUAACCCUCACGACAUAAUCAAGAAGGACACUUCAAACAUUGACCCAAUAAUUGAUCAACGAACCAAGUUACCCCAGGGAUAACAGCGCAAUCUACUCAAAGAGUCCAUAUCGACGAGCAGGUUUACGACCUCGAUGUUGGAUCAGGACCCCCAAAUAGCGCAACAGCUAUUAAAGGUUCGUUUGUUCAACGAUUAAAGUCCU
rnacentral:rRNA from 1 species